CUUUUACAACAUUGGUAUAUCCUUGUCUGCUGCAUGGACUCAAUUCCUUUGUAUGUUUACAGAUAAUUGUGUGUCAGUUUACAAGUUACUUUUAUGCACACCAGAUGUUCGAUAUUUUGUCUAGCUGGUUCUCUUAUGCAGAAAAAUGAUGUUCGAAAUGAUGAGCCCAGCAAUGUUUUAGUCUCAUAGGUGAUAUUUUGUAUGUGAGGCUCAUUUCUGCUGUAAUUGAGAUACUGAAGUUGUAGGUUUUAUGCAGAGUAAAAAGAGAUUGCUUCUGGCUCACAGUGACAUGUUGGAGUGGAAUGCUAAGCUUGUCCAGGGACUACUAACUUAUUGUCGAUUCUCAAAUGGUUGA
rnacentral:lncRNA from 1 species